rnacentral:rRNA from 1 species
AAGAGCAAGAAACUUUAGUGAGUGUACCUUUUGUAUCAGGGGAAGUUAAAAGUGUAAGUAGUAAAGGAUCGAUUUAAGCAGAGCUUUAUAUAAAUUAACUGUAGUUGAAUUUGUAAGUUUAAUUGGUUAUGUGGUGAAAAAUGUACGGUGCUUAUGGUAGCUAUUUGUUUUUUUGUUGAAGGGCAAGCUUUCAGUAACUUAAUUGAGCGAAAAAGAUAGAGAAUUAGGCUUUGUAUUAGCCAGAUUACUAAAUUGUUUUAAAUAACUUAAUACUGCUAGAUAAAUUUUAAGACUAAAAGACUUAGCCUAUUAAUAUAAACAGGCUUAAAUAAUGAGUUUAUUGAAUACAAAUUGGAGCACUUAAAUAACUCAUGGUAGGUUAGAAUGUUUAGCAAAAACAUUUUCUUUUGCGUUAAAUAAGGUAAGACCUGCCCGGUGAUUUUUAACGGCUGCGGUAUUUUGACUGUGCUAAGGUAGCAUAAUCAUUUGCUACUUAAUUGGUAGCUGGAAUGAAAGGUUGAACUAGCUUAUUUAGUUUGUUGUGUUUGUUAAGAAGUUAAAGUCAAGGUAAGAAUUCUUUGAUGCUCUAGGGGACGAUAAGACCCUAGAAGCUUUACAAUAAGAGUAUUUGUUAGUGAUAAAAAUUAAUUUGUUUUACUGGGGCGGUAAAGGUAUAUAGACUAUUUGAGUAUUGAUGGAUCCUUAAAAUAAAGAUAAGACAGGAAAGUUACUCUAGGGGUAACAGUGCAAUAUUUUUGGAGAGAUCCUAUCGAUAAAAAUGUUUGCAACCUCGAUGUUGAAUUAAAAUGUCUGCGUGAAGCAGUAGGUACGUAAGAGGGUUUGUUCAACCUUUAAAU